rnacentral:rRNA from 1 species
UACGUAGGGUGCAAGCGUUGUCCGGAAUUAUUGGGCGUAAAGAGCUCGUAGGCGGUUUGUCACGUCGGAUGUGAAACCCUGAGGCUCAACCUCAGGCCUGCAUUCGAUACGGGCAGACUAGAAUUCGGCAGGGGAGACUGGAAUUCCUGGUGUAGCGGUGAAAUGCGCAGAUAUCAGGAGGAACACCCGUGGCUAAGGCGGCUCUCUAGUACGGUACUGACGCUGAGACGCGAAAGCGUGGGGAGCGAACAGG